rnacentral:rRNA from 1 species
AGAGAGAGGAAGCAUCCACCCCAAGCCAAAGGAAAAUAGAAUAAAGAGCCGCCCUUUGUCCUCCUCCUCCUCUUCCUCUUCUCUCCUCUUUCCCUUCCCCUUCUCUUCCCUCUCCACGGACCGGAACGCGCCAUGACGAGCUCCUCCACGCCGUCCCGCAAGGCGCUGAGCAAGAUCGCCUGCAACCGGCUGCAGAAGGAGCUCGCCGAGUGGCAGGUCGGCCCGCCCGCCGGCUUCAAGUACAAGGUCUCCGACAACCUCCAGAGAUGGGUGAUCGAGGUGGGCGGGGCGGAGGGCACGCUCUACGCCGGCGAGACGUACCAGCUGCAGGUCGACUUCCCCGAGCAUUACCCCAUGGAGGCACCUCAGGUCAUUUUCCUCAACCCGGCGCCGAUGCACCCGCACAUUUACAGCAACGGGCACAUCUGCUUAGAUAUACUGUAUGACUCGUGGUCGCCUGCGAUGACUGUAAGUUCAGUCUGUAUCAGCAUCUUGUCGAUGCUGUCUAGCUCGCCAGCAAAGGUUACCCCAAUAACCCCCACCCAUCUCUCCCUUCACAUAUCAAACACAAUGUUCCUUUGCUUGUUCUCUUACUAGCUACGCAUUUUAUUGGUCAACAACAGCAACGCCCGGCGGACAAUGAUCGCUACGUUAGGAACUGCCGCAACGGGAGGUCGCCCAAGGAGACCCGAUGGUGGUUUCACGACGACAAAGUAUGAGGGGGCAUCGAAUCGAUUGGCUCUUCUGGCCACCCCAUACUCGCCAGCCAGCCUUCCUUACUGUGAAAGAAAUCUCUUCCAAGGGGAGAUGAGAUGAGAUGAGAUGAUUUAGGCUUAAAAAUUUAAGCUAAGCAACCCCUCUAUCGUACCGCGGAUCUUAACAUGCUGUGGUGGUUUGUACAUGAGCUCAACACAUGUCGUCGAAACGUGAAUAUAUCAUCGCUACCGACGAUAAGAUAUAUAUAUAGAAUAAGCAAGUGUAACCUGUCGGUGCGCGCAAAAGGAAUGCAGAUUUAUCUAUAUGAUUUGCUACAUUGUUUCGUGCUAUCUGUCCGCCUAUAAACUUUGCUGGCCUGCCGACUCAUGCCCUACUUGGUAUAUAUAUCCGAUCCCCUCGACUGAAUUUGCUGAAGUCAAAUGAAAUUUUU